GAGCACGUAGGUGGGUUUGUAAGUCGGUUGUGAAAGCCUUCCGCUCAACGGGAGAACGGCAGCCGAUACUGCAUAGCUUGAGUGCGGGAGGGGAGAGUGGAACUUCUGGUGGAGCGGUGAAAUGCGUAGAUAUCAGAAGGAACGCCGGCGGCGAAAGCGGCUCUCUGGCCCGUAACUGACGCUGAGUGUGCGAAAGCUAGGGGAGCAAACGGGAUUAGAUACCCCGGUAGUCCUAGCCGUAAACGAUGGGCACUAAGUAGAGGGGUUUU
rnacentral:rRNA from 1 species